AGAGUUUGAUCAUGGCUCAGAACGAACGCUGGCGGCAGGCCUAAUACAUGCAAGUCGAGCGCCCCGCAAGGGGAGCGGCGCACGGGUGCGUAACACGUGGGAAUGUACCUUCAGGUACGGAACAACCAAGGGAAACUUUGGCUAAUACCGUAUAAUAUCGAGAGAUCAAAGAUUUAUCGCCUGAAGAUCAGCCCGCGUCUGAUUAGAUAGUUGGUGGGGUAAUGGCCUACCAAGUCUACGAUCAGUAGCUGGUCUGAGAGGAUGAUCAGCCACACUGGAACUGAGACACGGUCCAGACUCCUACGGGAGGCAGCAGUAAGGAAUAUUGGACAAUGGGCGAAAGCCUGAUCCAGCCAUGCCGCGUGAGUGACGAAGGCCUUAGGGUUGUAAAGCUCUUUCGUCUGUGAGGAUAAUGACCGUAGCAGAAGAAGAAGCCCCGGCUAAAUUCGUGCCAGCCGCCGCGGUAAUUC
rnacentral:rRNA from 1 species